CCAAAGAGGGGGACCUUCGGGCCUCUCGCGUCAGGAUAUGCCUAGGUGGGAUUAGCUAGUUGGUGAGGUAAGGGCUCACCAAGGCGACGAUCCCUAGCUGGUCUGAGAGGAUGAUCAGCCACACUGGAACUGAGACACGGUCCAGACUCCUACGGGAGGCAGCAGUGGGGAAUAUUGCACAAUGGGCGCAAGCCUGAUGCAGCCAUGCCGCGUGUAUGAAGAAGGCCUUCGGGUUGUAAAGUACUUUCAGUCGUGAGGAAGGCGGCGUCGUUAAUAGCGGCGUUGUUUGACGUUAGCGACAGAAGAAGCACCGGCUAACUCCGUGCCAGCAGCCGCGGUAAUACGGAGGGUGCGAGCGUUAAUCGGAAUUACUGGGCGUAAAGCGCAUGCAGGUGGUUUGUUAAGUCAGAUGUGAAAGCCCGGGGCUCAACCUCGGAAUAGCAUUUGAAACUGGCAGACUAGAGUACUGUAGAGGGGGGUAGAAUUUCAGGUGUAGCGGUGAAAUGCGUAGAGAUCUGAAGGAAUACCGGUGGCGAAGGCGGCCCCCUGGACAGAUACUG
rnacentral:rRNA from 1 species